GCCAGGCGUGGUGGCGGGCGCCUGCAGUCCCAGCUACUGGGGAGGCUGAGGCCAGAGAAUGGCGUGAACCCGGGAGGUAAGAGUUUGCAGUGAGCCGAGAUGGCGCCACCGCACUCCAUCCUAGGCGACAGAGCAAGAUUCCNNNNNNNNNNGGAAUCUUGCUCUGUCGCCUAGGAUGGAGUGCGGUGGCGCCAUCUCGGCUCACUGCAAACUCUUACCUCCCGGGUUCACGCCAUUCUCUGGCCUCAG
rfam:Chlorocebus sabaeus isolate 1994-021 chromosome 23, whole genome shotgun sequence.